rnacentral:other from 1 species
AAUAUCCUGCGGUGUUCGAUACGGGGUUUAAUUCUUUCCACAAUAUCAAAUAAGGGAGCCAACUUGUCCGUGACGAUAUGUAAUGCCUGUGGUCGUUGUCUUGAGCAGACCUAUAUGACAGGACGCCAAAUUCGUCAGGCGUAGCACCCACCUGCACAUAAGCGGGUUGAUUUUUUCCCACGAACGGCACAUGCAGGAUUUUU